GUGGAGGAGGGUGACCGCCCUGAGACUUUGCCACCACAGCCACUUUCAUCCAGCUCCAUAAUCCUCAAAUCCCACUCAGGGUCAGUCAGGAGGACUCAAUGACACCACUACUGCACCCAUGCUUAUUUUGUAUCCAUUCAUCAAAUUAGUUGUAUAUCGGUGUGAUAUAUAACUUGAAAGGCUGUUCAUCUAUACUUACAUUACACUUGGAUUAAGUGUCAGUGUGGAGUGGGAACUCUAGGACUGCUUAUCUUGAGGUCUGUGAUGACUAUGGACAGUGCACUAUGGUGACUAGAGGUAAAGGCUACCCAGAUUGGCUGCCAUGAUCAGCACAUCAAGCACUCGUCCGUUCCUGGCGGUUGCGCCUCGCAUUUCUCCAAACAUGGCCACAGACACAGAGGAGGACAGUGAGGAUGAAAUACAUGAAACCUCUCCUGGCCCAGGGCGUCUGUUCAAUGUGAACAACAGUAACAACAAUGAGGAGUGAGUCCGUCCACAUAUACUGUGUGUGUGUUUGUGUGUUGUGUGUGAGUAGUGGUGGUAGUAGUAGUUUUAUUUCAUUACAUUGUUGGCCAUAAAUGGCAACUAAAAGCUAAAUUCAUACACAGCACAUACAAGUAAGCAAAAACAGUAAAACAAAUCAGGAACUUUAUUUGUUAUUUUACCUUUAUUUAACUAGGCAAGUCAGUAAAGAACCAAUUCUUAUUUACAAUGACAGCCUAUGAACAAUGGGUUAACUGCCUUGUUCAGGGUCAGAAAGACAGAUUUUUACCUUGUCAGCUCUGGAAUUUGAGCUUGCAACCUUUUGGGACAGGAUCAGAUAGGUUCAGAGUCAUUAAGCAGCGCACCCCGUAGCGUAGCCACUUGACUUUGACAGCUACUCCUCCACGACCAAAAAGUAGCACCCACCUGGGUGAUGUCGCUGGGGCCGGAAAACUCACCCCUUAUCAGUAGUGCAAAGUAGGCUAUUACAGUCCUCAAGCCUCUGCCAUCACCGCAAACCAUCUCAAUUGUCCUUCCGCUUCAGACUUCUCCUCAACCUCAAGCCACGGCAUUUAAAAAUACAACACUGCUACUUAGUCAGUUUGCUAGCUAGUAGCUACCUAGCAAAUGUCCACAAUGGCACGAUGUGGGACCAAUGUGGGUGAAAGAAUUGUCUCCGCAUAGGCUACCCACAUUGGACAUAUGCGCCUUUGCUUAUCGGCUCCACAUUGGCCCCACAGCAGGUGGCCCCAAGGGCAGCCCUCACUUUGCCUGAAAUAAGCCCACCCUUU
rnacentral:lncRNA from 1 species